rnacentral:rRNA from 1 species
CGGGGGGGGCAAGCGUUGUUCGGAAUUACUGGGCGUAAAGGGCUCGUAGGCGGCCAACUAAGUCAGACGUGAAAUCCCUCGGCUUAACCGGGGAACUGCGUCUGAUACUGGAUGGCUAGAGGUUGGGAGAGGGAUGCGGAAUUCCAGGUGUAGCGGUGAAAUGCGUAGAUAUCUGGAGGAACACCGGUGGCGAAGGCGGCAUCCUGGACCAAUUCUGACGCUGAGGAGCGAAAGCCAGGGGAGCAAACGGGAUUAGAUACCCCGGUAGUCCUGGCCCUAAACGAUGAAUGCUUGGUGUGGCGGGUAUCGAUCCCUGCCGUGCCGAAGCUAACGCAUUAAGCAUUCCGCCUGGGGAGUACGGUCGCAAGGCUG